rnacentral:lncRNA from 1 species
UGAACCUCUUCUGUACAGAAGCCAUCUAUGAUCUGUUCUAAAGCUUCACUCAGGCCAGGCUGCUUGCUAGAAACACGACUGCUCAGCACGUGAAGAAAGCAGUCGGACAUCUGAAGGGCUCGCGCGUGUAAUAAUGCCAACACAUCUUACAACCCUCUGAAACACGUCCUAAGGCCAGACUGUUACACUCUUGAGUUAAUCAGUCUACCAAGAAACCACCUCAGAAACGGCAGAAAGUAACUCUGAAGCUAGCUGUCAAGCAUAAGCUGGCGCCUGUGAGCUCUAACUCAAGAGAAUGAAGGCCCAAGACG